rnacentral:rRNA from 1 species
UACAUGUGGGGCAAGCGUUGUUCGGAAUUACUGGGCAUAAAGGGUGCGUAGGCGGACAGUUUAGUCAGAGGUGAAAGCCCAGGGCUCAACCUUGGAAUUGCCUUUGAUACUGGCUGUCUUGAGUUCGGGAGAGGUGAGUGGAAUGCCGAGUGUAGAGGUGAAAUUCGUAGAUAUUCGGCGGAACACCAGUGGCGAAGGCGACUCACUGGCCCGAUACUGACGCUGAGGCGCGAAAGCGUGGGGAGCAAACAGG